AAAGGUUGACCUCGGAUCAGGUAGGAAUACCCGCUGAACUUAAGCAUAUCAAUAAGCGGAGGAAAUCUCCAG
rnacentral:rRNA from 1 species